ensembl:lncRNA
CACAACGGUAGAAGAUAAAGCAUUAAGACGUAGAAUAUUACAGGUUCUCAUGAUGAAAGAAGAUGGAGAAAAGUCGGUUAAAGACAAACAACCCAUUCCAGAGCCCCCUCCCAACCUAUCAGGGGUUCUAGAACCCAUUCCAGAACCUCCCCUCAACAUAUCAGGGGUUCUAGAACCCAUUCUGGAACCUCCUUCCAACCUACCACGGGUUCUAGAACCAAUUCCGGAACCUUAUUUUAACUUAUCAGAUGUUCUAAAACGCCUUCCUCUGAGCCUGGGCCUCCCCGAACGCUUUGGGUCCGCCAUGGCCCGGAACAUUCUCAGCUUGUUCCACGCCGACCUCCACCAGCACCAGGAGGAGGACCCCUUCCUCUCCUUUGACGACGAUGAAGACCCCCUGGACCAAGAGCAAGCAGGAGGGGAGGAAGAGGACCUGAAGGAGGAAUCUUCUGUGGAAGUCCUGGCUGGACUCAUCGCCUCAGCCACGAUUGCCUCCGCCCUUCGAGAGACGUGUUCUCGUGGGAAACCCAUCCAGGGCUGGAACCCCCCUCCGCCAUCCCAGCUGGAGUGCACCGCUGUGGGGUCGCUGGACUACCCCGAUGCACCCCCGACCUCGCCCGUCGUCCCGGAGCAGGAGCGGGAGGGCCGAGGAGGCAGCUUCUCCAGGAGGCUGAACGACGGAUUGGCUAGAGAGUUCCUGCCGACUCCGUCUCCACCUCCCCCGAAGCCCAAGGACCGACGGAGCGAAGGGGGCCCUUUGGGGAACGUUUUCUGUACCGAUGAUGACCACCGGGUGGCGCUGGUGGAGCACGUGGUGCGCUCACUGUCGAUGGGAGACCCCCACGGCGAGGAGCUCUCGUCGGGCUUCAUGGCGGACCGCUAUGGAGGUGAUGGUGGAGAAGGAGCUCAACGGCAGCAGCAGUGGGAUGGAGCCAAAAUGGCGGCUUACAUGGAGGACCUGACUGAGGAGAUCAUGGAGUGGGUGACCGGUCGGGUUGGUGAGGGGGUGAUGGAUAUCGGUCAGAGAAGAUCCACUGAGGCGAGUGAUGAUGGUGAGGGUCGUCUUCAUUGCAUGGCUGACCGGCUGGCUCACAGCAUCGUCACCUCGUCCCUCCAUGGAUAUCAGUACACCAUCAUGUCCACUAGGCUGCAGCACAAGACUUCCAGUGUCCUAUAAAAAAAUCUUUUAAUAAGCCAAUUAUCAACGCAAUCAGUAAAUGGCUCAGAAUUCACAUUAAUUUCGUAACUGUGUUGUCCUUGUUAUUUCUGUUGUUGGAUAAAUAUAUAUGAUAUACACGUACCCCCUCUGGUAUUUGGUAGAAUACACAGCGUACACAUUUGAGAGUCAAUUCAUUAAAAAGCAGGUUGGAUUAUGAGUAUCUUGUUCAAGGCUGCCUACGGUUUGGUCUGUGGACACGGGGGUUUGAACACAAGACAUUUCGUCUGAGAGGAGGAACAACGAACAGCUAUUCCAAAGCCUCUUAUCCUAUCACCAAAAGUAUUUAAUUACGCAACCUGAAUCGUGAAAAUGUGUGACCUCACAAAGGUCAUGUAAUUGGCCCAAUAGGAAGAGAGCCAAUUAGUAAGUGGACUUUUCCCCCAACAGUAAUUUGUCUGUAUUUGAUUUCGUUGAAGGUAACCAUUUAUUCUGUGAGUUGGUAAGGAAAUAGCUUCCAUCUGAUCUUUGGAUCUUGAGCUGUUGUUGCAACGUGUCACACGUCUUGAAAAUGUAGCUCCACUGAAUGGGAUUGCAAAUAAUAAAAUCAAAUAUGACCAAAUUUAAUUGUUGCCUUACUGUUUGAUUUACAUUUCAUGUGGUUGAAU